GAGACUUCGAUCCAGUUCAUCCCCAAAUCGAUCCAGACCGCAUACGCCGCGAACCCUAGCCACAACCCCACCGCCGCUACCGCGCCCUCCACCACACCACCGCUGCCCCGCCUGCCCCAACCACUCCCCGCUGCUGCUGCAGACUCCGCCCUCCACACCCCACCGCUGCAGACUGCUGCCGCGGUCGACCCCACAUCACAGCGCCGUCGAGGACACGGACGACACCACCAGCGCCGGCCUUCCACGUCGCGGAGCCACUCCACUGGCGACCACCCCCCUUCUCCGCGAGCUUGGUCCACACCGAGCAGGCCUUCUCCAAAGCAUUGAGCGGGGCUGCCUCCUCUACGUCAUCUCCCCCGAGCAGCGGAGCGUCCUCCCUCCCGCGAGCGGCUCUGUCUCCUCAGUACCCUUCCCCUAGGCAGCCACGUCAUGUAUUUCCUUUCACCAGUGUCCUCUUCAAUAGGCUAUUUGGGUGAAAUUGGUCAAGAAUGGACAAGAGUUGGAUGGAUAAAGCUAGAAAUACACAAGCAUAUAUUGACGGGGGCAAGCUCAAGGGCGAUGUAUCUCAUAGCCAUACACAACCAUUUGGAAGUGGAGAAGUCCAUGGCAAAAGCAGUAAUGCGACCACAAGCAAGCUGAGGAGCAUGCCUCCUAUUCGUCCUCCGCAGCAGGCAGUGUUGUGUCGACUACGUCUGGAUAGCAACUCAUCUCCAUCCUCGCCCCAAGCAGUGUCGCCUCACCUCUACUUCCUCGCCUAAGCGGUACCGCCUAUGGUCUCCGCUUCACCGCCAAUGGAGCAUGGUAGCCCAGUGGCAAAAGCUUCUAUGUAUGCAGUUGGAAGUGGAUAAGUGUCAGGCUCUUCCUACAGGAUGUCUACUAGUUCAGUUCUAGUCAUAAACAAAGGCUUCCCAAGGGUACAUAAGUUGAUGGAGUUGUGGAAGAUCUGCAAGCUGCUGGAGGUUUGGAAGACCUACAGUUAAUUUGGUCAAGUGAUAUAUGCCUCGUUUGCUGAACCCAGAGACAUUGGCAAGUUUUCCUAUGCUUAUUUGGUGGUUGUUUUGGUACACAAGCCAUUAUGUGCUCAUUUUGGUUGUGUGACGCAUAUAAAAACAUAUGUACUGAACCUUUUGUAGCACGAGCUCCUUGUAUAUGGUCGUUUCAUACAUGUAUCUAGAAACAUGUGUAUUUGGUCUGGCAUGUGUAAUUGAAUGAAGUUUAAGGUUGAUUGAAGUGUAUGUAUG
rnacentral:rRNA from 1 species